ACGAUCUUACUUGAGCAGGAUAUGUUCUAUAGGCUCGUGUCGUUGCAUCCUUUAACAGUAAGGAGGCAAGCACUCUAAUUUUGGACCCAUUCUUUACCAGUCUGGUUGAUGAAUCAUGGCUUCAGGGCGAGAGCGUGAUUAACAGCCAGGAUCCACUCGUUAAUUUUGGAUCUGACGGUUGUAGAUGAUUGUCCCUGGCCUGUAUUGCUGCAAGUUGUUGGAUGGCCUGGAAGCUGUCUGACAGACU
rnacentral:snoRNA from 1 species